rnacentral:rRNA from 1 species
AUUGAACGCUGGCGGCAGGCCUAACACAUGCAAGUCGAACGAGUGGCGGACGGGUGAGUAAUGUCUGGGAAACUGCCUGAUGGAGGGGGAUAACUACUGGAAACGGUAGCUAAUACCGCAUACCAUCGGAUGUGCCCAGAUGGGAUUAGCUAGUAGGUGGGGUAAAGGCUCACCUAGGCGACGAUCCCUAGCUGGUCUGAGAGGAUGACGAGCCACACGUGAACGGAGAGACGGUCCAGACUCCUACGGGAGGCAGAAGUGGGGAAUAUUGCACAAUGGGCGCAAGCCUGAUGCAGCCAUGCGGCGGGUAUGAAGAAGGCCUGAGGGUUGUAAAGUACUUGCAGCGGGGAGGCGUUACCCGCAGAAGAAGCACCGGCUAACUCCGUGCCAGCAGCCGCGGUAAUUC